rnacentral:sRNA from 1 species
CGCUGAUGGUAAUAAGGCGAUUUUAAUA